CAAUGAGGCCAUCCCGUGGGGUGCUGUCUAGGAGACCAGCUGUGAGCUAGCAUGGCUGGCCUGGCCUCCCUGGCUCCGCUGCUGGCCCCGGUUCCUCUGUUUCUACAGCAAGUUCAGCUUUGGGGCUGGCUCACUGGGAGGUCAGCUGGUGCCAGGGUGACCCACUGCCUGGCAGGUGGGCAUGAAGGGCACAGGAUGUGCAGCACAGGAGUCUGCAUCCUGGCUCACUCUACGCCCCCCAACCCCUCCUGUCUGGAAAGGGACCCAGCUCAGGCCAGGCGUCGGCCGCUAGGAGCUCCCCAGCUCAGCCCUUCCGGUGAGGUCAUGGGAAAGGCUUGCUGGGACGCCCCCAGCCGAGGAUCCCCGAAGCGCCAGCCUGCAGGCGGCUUCAGGAAAGUGGCCUGGUCACCAGGAGCUCCAAGGAGCCUGACCGGAAGGGGACAAUUAAACCAGAGGAGAAAGAGUUAACCCCAGCCUGGAGGGGGCUCCGCUUUCCCACCCUCCACAAUCACCAGGAAAUAAACAAG
rnacentral:lncRNA from 1 species